rnacentral:rRNA from 1 species
GAUGAACGCUGGCGGCGUGCCUAAUACAUGCAAGUCGAGCGAACGGACGAGGAGCUUGCUUCUCUGAUGUUAGCGGCGGACGGGUGAGUAACACGUGGAUAACCUACCUAUAAGACUGGGAUAACUUCGGGAAACCGGAGCUAAUACCGUAUAAUAUUUUGAACCGCAUGGUUCAAAAGUGAAAGACGGUCGUGCUGUCACGUAUAGAUGGAUCCGCGCUGCAUUUGCGAGUUGGUCAGGUAACGGCUUACCAAGGCAACGAUGCAUAGCCGACCUGGUAGGGGGGUAGGCCGCCGUGGAAGUUGACCGGCGUCCCGGCGCCUUCGGGAGGGCGCAGUCGGGUACGUGCCGCAGCGGGGGAAAGCAUGACGGAGCAACGCCGCGUGAGUGAUGAAGAUCUUCGGAUCGUAAAGCUCUGUUAUUAGGGAAGAACAUAUGUGUAAGUAACUGUGCACAUCUUGACGGUAACUAGUCAGAAAGCCCCGGCUAACUACGUG